rnacentral:lncRNA from 1 species
AACAUUACUAUUUGUUUUAAUAUUUUCCAAUAAAAACAACUACUGUUUUAGUGACUGAUAUUUUAUUUCCUUUAAUAUUUAGGCAAGAAUUCCAUAGAAUAGCAAUAAAAAGGACAAGGCAACGGAGGACAUCUCCACACUGAGGGAAGGAAGCAGUGGCAAGGUCUUAGGAUAUGAGGCUGCCUUAUCAAGAAAUAUUUGAAUUGCUUCUGAGG